rnacentral:rRNA from 1 species
CUAUUAUGGAGAGUUUGAUCCUGGCUCAGGACGAACGCUGGCGGCGUGCCUAAUACAUGCAAGUCGAGCGAAUUUAUCCUUCGGGAUAAGUUAGCGGCGGACGGGUGAGUAACACGUAGGUAACCUGCCUAUAAGAUCGGGAUAACUAUCGGAAACGAUAGCUAAGACCGGAUAACUGGUUUUCUCGCAUGAGAGAACUAUGAAACACGGAG